CCUGAACGCUGGCGGCGUGGCUAACACAUGCAAGUCGUACGGGCGUAGCAAUACGCCAGUGGCGAACGGGUGAGUAAUGUAUCGCUAACGUGCCCCCGAGUCAGGGAUAGCUGCCCGAAAGGGCAGGUAAUACCUGAUGAGACCACGACCGGGCAUCCGGUAGUGCUCAAAGCAGCAAUGCGCUCAGGGAGCGGGCGAUAUCGUAUCAGCUAGUUGGUGAGGUAACGGCUCACCAAGGCGACGACGCGUAGCCGGACUGAGAGGUUGGCCGGCCACAUUGGGACUGAGACACUGCCCAGACUCCUACGGGGGGCUGCAGUAACGAAUCUUCCGCAAUGCACGCAAGUGUGACGGAGCGACGCCGCGUGUGGGACGAAGUCCUUCGGGAUGUAAACCACUGUCAGGGGUUACCAAGUUCUGAGGAGCCCCAGAGGAAGGCACGGCUAACUCUGUGCCAGCAGCCGCGGUAAGACAGAGGUGCCAAGCGUUAGGCGGAAUCACUGGGCUUAAAGCGUGUGUAGGCGGAUCGUUAAGUACCUUGUGAAAUCCCACGGCUCAACCGUGGAACUGCUGGGUAUACUGGCGAUCUUGAGCCACCUAGGGGCGAGCGGAACAAGCGGUGGAGCGGUGAAAUGCGUAGAUAUCGCUUGGAACGCCAACGGUGAAAACAGCUCGCUGGGGGUGUGCUGACGCUGAGACACGAAAGCCAGGGAGCGAACGGGAUUAGAUACCCCGGUAGUCCUGGCCCUAAACGAUGUCGACUAGAUCGUAGUGCCUCUGACGGUAUUACGGUCGAAGCAAAAGUGCUAAGUCGACCGCCUGGGAAGUACGGUCGCAAGGCUAAA
rnacentral:rRNA from 1 species